rnacentral:lncRNA from 1 species
GUUAGUGUAAAUAUGAAAAGUGGUACUAUGAAUGUGCUAUUUGUGGUAAUUUCCCUUUUGAAUAUAUGUAUAAUUUUGAAUGAAUUUUUGAUAUAAAUUAAUUUUAAAUUAUUAUUUUGAUUCGAAUAUGUAUAUCAAAUAACAUAAACUCAUUAUUUUUUAAUAUAAUGUAAUACACUUACAAUUUUUUUAAGGGAGAAUUUGUGAAAUAGCCAAAAAAUAUACUAAAAUUAGAUUUAUUGAGUGAGAGUAGAGAGAGAGAUAGGAAGAUGAUGGAAGAAAGAGAAGAGGAUUUUGGUUAGUUAUCUAAUUUGGGUUUUUUUGUGUAGCUAUAGGGUGCAAUUUCUCUUUUUUUUUUAAUAGAAUAAUUUUUUUUUUUUUUCAUAACUUAUUUCUAUCCAUGUUUUCAAACAGCACUAUUUUUUUAAUUGUUAUCUAUGUUCUCAAACAAAAAUUUAAAGUAUUUUUACUUUGAUAAGAUAGAUAUAUUUCAAUAUAUUUAAUAAUAUUAUUGUAUUAAUACUUUAUAAUUUGAAGUAGUUACGUGGACAAUAAUCCAAAGAAGUUAAGAGGCGUCAAACGGAUGAGGAUUUUUGUUAGCUGAAGACUGAAGAGGAGUUGUUCACUGCGCUUAAGAGUGACGUGCUUGAAAGUUGAAUGUACGUAUUACGUAACUCAGCCCAUAAGUCCCAAAACUGCGGCCCAUUUUUAGCGUGAAAAUGUGAGUUCAUACGAUUCUAACAUUCUAUGCUGGUGAUCAUUGGACACUUUUCCUUUGAUUAUUCGUUUAUGUACAAAAUCAUAUAACUGAUAUGAUUCUUUGUUUAAAUUACUACGUUUACUUGUGUCUUCUUAUAACGCCCCGACCGUCCACGGCUAAUAGACCACCCACGUCCGCUCUCUCGGCCCGUGGAUCCCAUCCCGUUUGACGGGCGUGCGUUAAUUUUUCCAAAUGCUCGAAAUCAUUGUUUACUGACCCUGCAAACACCACCCGACCUUUCUCCGUGUUUUGGCCUCAAUCACACGGUAUCGCAAAUCACUUCCCAAUAAGUCACUCAUCCUUCCACUACUCCAGCUCAAGCACG